rnacentral:piRNA from 1 species
UAGACAAAAAAAAGAGGAAAGACCUCGAUGC